UGGGGAAUAUUGCGCAAUGGGGGAAACCCUGACGCAGCCAUGCCGCGUGAGUGAAGAAGGUCUUCGGAUCGUAAAGCUCUUUCAACGGUGAAGAUGAUGACGGUAGCCGUAGAAGAAGCCCCGGCUAACUUCGUGCCAGCAGCCGCGGUAAUACGAAGGGGGCAAGCGUUAUUCGGAUUUACUGGGCGUAAAGGGCGUGUAGGCGGCUUGAUAGGUCAAAGGUGAAAGCCCUCGGCUCAACCGAGGAACUGCCUUUGAAACCAUCUGGCUCGAGGCCGGGAGGGGGUAGUGGAAUUCCUGGUGUAGCGGUGAAAUGCGUAGAUAUCAGGAGGAACACCGGUGGCGAAGGCGGCUACCUGGACCGGUUCUGACGCUGAGGCGCGAAAGCGUGGGGAGCAAACAGGAUUAGAUACCCUGGUAGUCCACACCGUAAACGAUGAAUGCCAGUCGUCGGGGUAGCAUGCUAUUCGGUGACACACCUAACGGAUUAAGCAUUCCGCCUGGGGAGUACGGUCGCAGAUUAAAACUCAAAGGAA
rnacentral:rRNA from 1 species